GCGUCUGGAAAGGCGCGCGAUACAGGGUGAGAGCCCCGUACACAAAAGCGCACAUGCUGUGAGCUCGAUGAGUAGGGCGGGACACGUGGUAUCCUGUCUGAAUAUGGGGGGACCAUCCUCCAAGGCUAAAUACUCCUGACUGACCGAUAGUGAACCAGUACCGUGAGGGAAAGGCGAAAAGAACCCCGGCGAGGGGAGUGAAACAGAACCUGAAACCGUGUACGUACAAGCAGUGGGAGCCUCUCUUUAUGGGGGGUGACUGCGUACCUUUUGUAUAAUGGGUCAGCGACUUAUAUUCUGUAGCAAGGUUAACCGCAUAGGGGAGCCGAAGGGAAACCGAGUCUUAAUUGGGCGUUAAGUUGCAGGGUAUAGACCCGAAACCCGGUGAUCUAGCCAUGGGCAGGUUGAAGGUUGGGUAACACUAACUGGAGGACCGAACCGACUAAUGUUGAAAAAUUAGCGGAUGACCUGUGGCUGGGGGUGAAAGGCCAAUCAAACCGGGAGAUAGCUGGUUCUCCCCGAAAGCUAUUUAGGUAGCGCCUCGUGAACUCAUCUCCGGGGGUAGAGCACUGUUUCGGCUAGGGGGCCAUCCCGGCUUACCAACCCGAUGCAAACUGCGAAUACCGGAGAAUGUUAUCACGGGAGACACACGGCGGGUGCUAACGUCCGUCGUGAAGAGGGAAACAACCCAGACCGCCAGCUAAGGUCCCAAAGUCAUGGUUAAGUGGGAAACGAUGUGGGAAGGCCCAGACAGCCAGGAUGUUGGCUUAGAAGCAGCCAUCAUUUAAAGAAAGCGUAAUAGCUCACUGGUCGAGUCGGCCUGCGCGGAAGAUGUAACGGGGCUAAACCAUGCACCGAAGCUGCGGCAGCGACACUUUAGUGUUGUUGGGUAGGGGAGCGUUCUGUAAGCCGUUGAAGGUGUCCUGUGAGGGGUGCUGGAGGUAUCAGAAGUGCGAAUGCUGACAUAAGUAACGAUAAAGCGGGUGAAAAGCCCGCUCGCCGGAAGACCAAGGGUUCCUGUCCAACGUUAAUCGGGGCAGGGUGAGUCGACCCCUAAGGCGAGGCCGAAAGGCGUAGUCGAUGGGAAACGGGUUAAUAUUCCCGUACUUGGUGUUACUGCGAAGGGGGGACGGAGAAGGCUAUGUUGGCCGGGCGACGGUAGUCCCGGUUUAAGCGUGUAGGUGUGUGUUCCAGGCAAAUCCGGUUCACUUUAACACUGAGGCGUGAUGACGAGGCACCACGGUGCUGAAGCAACAAAUGCCCUGCUUCCAGGAAAAGCCUCUAAGCAUCAGGUAACAUCAAAUCGUACCCCAAACCGACACAGGUGGUCAGGUAGAGAAUACCAAGGCGCUUGAGAGAACUCGGGUGAAGGAACUAGGCAAAAUGGUGCCGUAACUUCGGGAGAAGGCACGCUGACACGUAGGUGAAGUGAUUUACUCAUGGAGCUGAAGUCAGUCGAAGAUACCAGCUGGCUGCAACUGUUUAUUAAAAACACAGCACUGUGCAAACACGAAAGUGGACGUAUACGGUGUGACGCCUGCCCGGUGCCGGAAGGUUAAUUGAUGGGGUCAGCGCAAGCGAAGCUCCUGAUCGAAGCCCCGGUAAACGGCGGCCGUAACUAUAACGGUCCUAAGGUAGCGAAAUUCCUUGUCGGGUAAGUUCCGACCUGCACGAAUGGCGUAAUGAUGGCCAGGCUGUCUCCACCCGAGACUCAGUGAAAUUGAACUCGCUGUGAAGAUGCAGUGUACCCGCGGCAAGACGGAAAGACCCCGUGAACCUUUACUAUAGCUUGACACUGAACAUUGAGCCUUGAUGUGUAGGAUAGGUGGGAGGCUUUGAAGCGUGGACGCCAGUCUGCGUGGAGCCGACCUUGAAAUACCACCCUUUAAUGUUUGAUGUUCUAACGUGGACCCGUAAUCCGGGUUGCGGACAGUGUCUGGUGGGUAGUUUGACUGGGGCGGUCUCCUCCUAAAGAGUAACGGAGGAGCACGAAGGUUGGCUAAUCCUGGUCGGACAUCAGGAGGUUAGUGCAAUGGCAUAAGCCAGCUUGACUGCGAGCGUGACGGCGCGAGCAGGUGCGAAAGCAGGUCAUAGUGAUCCGGUGGUUCUGAAUGGAAGGGCCAUCGCUCAACGGAUAAAAGGUACUCCGGGGAUAACAGGCUGAUACCGCCCAAGAGUUCAUAUCGACGGCGGUGUUUGGCACCUCGAUGUCGGCUCAUCACAUCCUGGGGCUGAAGUAGGUCCCAAGGGUAUGGCUGUUCGCCAUUUAAAGUGGUACGCGAGCUGGGUUUAGAACGUCGUGAGACAGUUCGGUCCCUAUCUGCCGUGGGCGCUGGAAGACUGAGGGGGGCUGCUCCUAGUACGAGAGGACCGGAGUGGACGCAUCACUGGUGUUCGGGUUGUCAUGCCAAUGGCACUGCCCGGUAGCUAAAUGCGGAAAAGAUAAGUGCUGAAAGCAUCUAAGCACGAAACUUGCCCCGAGAUGAGUCUUCCCUGAGACUUUGAGUCUCCUGAAGGAACGUUAAAGACGAUGACGUUGAUAGGCCGGGUGUGUAAGCGCAGCGAUGCGUUGAGCUAACCGGUACUAAUGAACCGUGAGGCUUAACCUUACAACGCCGAAGGUGUUU
rnacentral:rRNA from 1 species